rnacentral:rRNA from 1 species
GACGUAGGGCGCGAGCGUUGUCCGGAUUUAUUGGGCGUAAAGAGCUCGUAGGCGGCUUGUUGCGUCGUCCGUGAAAACCUGGGGCUCAACUCCAGGCUUGCGGUCGAUACGGGCAGGCUAGAGUUCGGUAGGGGAGGACUGGAAUUCCUGGUGUAGCGGUGAAAUGCGCAGAUAUCGGGAGGAACACCGGUGGCGAAGGCGGUCUCU